AACAAAUCUCACUUUAUGGAGAGAAAAUUAAUCCAUAUGAAUAACUAAGUUAUGUCAGUGUUUCAACACAAAAUCUGCAUAAAUAUUUGACUGGUAAUAGUGUUCAUUCAUGUGAUACUUCAUGCUCCUCAGUUUCCCUUUGUCAGGCUCAUCCUUAUGUAAGCUUUCAGGCACCCUGAGAUGGUGCAUUCCAGAGUUAGCAGAAGUGUGCAUGCCACAACUAGAGCAGUGGAUGGGAAGAGGUUGCCUAGAAUUGCCUCCUAAUUUCGUUUCCUCUCCCCACCAAGGGGUAAUUGCUGAACCACCAACAGCUAAAUAGAUCCAUCAACAGAUGCCAAGGCUGCUGCCAGGCUUCGGUCUUGUCUUUCCCAGUAGGGGCCACUACAGAGCAUCAAAUAGCAAGGAAGACUGGGAAGAGAGAAUUGAGUACAGCAUAACAGAAGGAACCAGGAAAAGGCAUCAUGCAGAUGGAAUGUCUUCCAGCUCAGAAGAGAAACUCAUUAUGUUUUCACUUCAUGGCAUGGUGAGUAGCAUGAUGAGGAAUAUUGCUCCUAGUUGAAACAUGGAUACACCAAUGGUGGUAGAGGAUCUGAAAUGCCUGGAGGGAGAGCUCUCAUUACACCAGCAAAGAAAGAAGUCAUAGGAAAGGAAGAAGGUAGAAUUUGACUGUUCUCAGAAUUUUACACUCCUCUCCUUCACUACCUUACUUUAAAGCUCUUUUAUUCAGAAGGUAUAUUUCUUUUUUUGAUUCAGGUCUGAUCUUUGAGGUUUUCAAGCCUUUUUGAGUCCUGCCACAUCUGUUUCCUUUCUAUUUAUUAUACAUAUUCUUUCUUUUUUUUUUUCUCCACCCAGUUCUCAUAUUUAUAGACUGAAUCCUUCAAGAUGUUUUCUUCCCUUCCUCCACCCAACUCUGGGUGAGCUCUCUAAAUCCCAAGGAAACACUUCCUG
rnacentral:lncRNA from 1 species